rnacentral:rRNA from 1 species
AUGCGAUAAGUAAUGUGAAUUGCAGAAUUCAGUGAAUCAUCGAAUCUUUGAACGCACCUUGCGCCCUUUGGCUAUUCCGAAGGGCAUGCCUGUUUGAGUAUCAUGAACACCUCAACCCUCAUGGUUUACCAUGACGGGCUUGGACUUUGGGGGUCUUGCUGGAUUGUAGUCAGCUCCCCUUAAAUGAAUCAGCUUGCCAGUGUCUGGUGGGAUCACGGGUGUGAUAGUUAUCUACGCUUGCGAUUUUACAUCAGGUAACCUUCAGAGAUGGGGGUUCACUGGGGCUCACAAAAGGUGUCUCUCCUCCAUGAGGAAUAGCUCUUUGAACGUUUGAUCUCAAAUCAGGUAGGACUACCCGCUGAACUUAA